CAGAUUAUGUUAAAAUCAUUUGAGAAGUUUUUGUGCCAAUAGAGAUGCAUGACCACAGGAAGCCUCUGUGAAUAAUGAGACCCUGAACACAGCCAUCCUCACACUGUUUCCAGUGGAACUGUAACAUGAGGCAUUACUCUUUUUAAGUGAGGAGAAGCAUAAAUGUAUUGAUUAUAAGCAAGACUUGAAUAACAACACCAGUGCCUAUGUGGAAGGGACCCACCCUGGAUGAAGAGCUGCAUUCAAUCAAUGACUGCUCAGAAAGGGAGACUCAGUUUUCCCCAGGAACGUGCUCCGUUAUUAGUUAUCCAAAGCCAAAAGUCUAGAAACUAGGAGUGUGUGCAAGACCCUUGCUUUUGAAGACCAUGUGAGAUGUGGCUCUGAAGACAGAACGGAAGAGGAAGUGCUGAGUCUCAAGAAGCUCCUCUCACCCAUCCACAGGAAACGUACUGAUUUCAAUGGGCCUAGAGGCCGCUUAUUAAAGAGCAGGAAGCCAUAGACAGGAGAGCAAGAAUGAGAGAGCAAGUAGGUCCCAGGAAUUAGGCGUCUGUCACCCAAAGGACAGAUUUUGUUCAAACAACUAUUACCUGUGUUUUCAGUGAACACAUCAGGUCUGUGCUUUACCCGCAGAGUUCCAAAGAAACAGUUAGUUUGCAGCCAUUUUUCCACACAGCAGUUGGAUAAGCAGUCUGACGAGAUACCCAGUCCAGGAUGCUUUGGAAAAGUGUGGUGGGUCAGACAUUUGGGGUGCAGAAAUUAGGCUACAAGGGUGGGUAUUGUAACUUUACUGUUAUAGAAAGACUUCAAAUCACAUUCAUGCUCUGUGUGCUCAUGAAGAAAAGGGGACAAAAUGAUGAAGAGUGCCAUUUCCCAAUGUUUGCUGUGCAAUCUGUCUGUCUCUGACUCUCUGAUGCCGUGUCCCUAAUUGUACACUGUAUGCUGAUUACUAGGAGUCUAAAGUUGUCAUCUAUCAAUAAAGAUCACAAAGUUUGUUUAAAUUAAAAUUUAUAUGUAUAUGAUUAUCCAGAUCUAAUGCUCGCUUAGCACUGACCACGCC